rnacentral:lncRNA from 1 species
ACUGGGCUCAGGGUGUCCAUUGUUCUCUCGAAGCAACUGAGAAUUGUGGAUAUUCUUUGUUAUUCCAUCAUCAUCUCAAACCUCUUGGGUAUAGUGUUUGAAUGCUACUCUGACCAUAAAUUCCAAUAAAACCUAGGAAAAAAUGAAACUACUAUAUUAACUGAAAGGACAGCUCAAGUGAUAGAAAUAACACAGGACGGGAAGUAAGAAGACAGUUCUGGUCUGAAGUUCUUCUCUGACAGCUCAUAAACUAGUUAAUAU